CCUGACACCUGGCACCAGCCUCAAUUGCCACCUGCAUCAACCUCCACCUGCCUCAGGUGUCGUUCCGACUGACCAGAACGCAUCCUGUCACCUUGCCAGGCGUAGUUGCCGUCCAUCCUCAGUUUACACCAACCUCAUCCUCCAGCCGCCUCACCGUCAACAAUCCAACGGUCACCGACUUCUUCACGCCAUCUGGUGUUACCUCCUAAGAUGCAGUGUGGUGACAGCUACCCUCUCCAACAUCCGCCAAUUACACCGCUUCAUGUGCAGGAAUUGACACCCUCUGAUACACUCUAUAUCCAUGUAUCUUAUUACUGAAUCAUUUCAUUUCAUCAAUCUUCACAUAACCAGGAAGAUCCAAAGAUGCCAACUUAACAUGUUGGAAUUAUCAAGAUCUGUUUUGUAUGUUUAAAACUUGGUACAACAUCCUGCUUUUGACACGUUCGUCCACUUACAAGUCCCUGAAGUUGUCCAUGUGUACCAUCUGAUGACUCGGCAGCUCUGAGGUGUUGAGGGGUGUUUCAUGUCUCAUGGCUCAGUUUCUGCCUGAAAUACCCGCUAACACCUUCUAGUUGAACGAUGACUCGGUUGUAUUCACAAACAUUUUCUAGGGUAAUUGUAUUUGGUCAACGUCUUUAGGGGAUUGUUGUGAAAGAUUUUAAUACAGGAAGUAUGUAUCUUCCGAGAACGCAUUUGGUUAAAACGUCACCUCAACAAAAUAUUUCGGUUGACAUUCAUGAUACAUUGAGAAUAUUCCCAAUCAUGUGCGGUGUAAGGAAGGAUGUUGGCAGUAUCUACCACUGACGUCUAUGGAUGUUGAACAGAACUAAGUGAUAAGGCACCCUUGACGCAGCUGUACACAGCCCCGCCAACCACACCCGUCUACCACAUCC